GAUGAACGCUGGCGGCGUGCCUAACACAUGCAAGUCGAACGGAAUUUACAUGAAGCCUAGCGAUUGUAAAUUUAGUGGCGGACGGGUGAGUAACGCGUGGGUAACCUGCCUUGUACUGGGGGACAACAGUUGGAAACGACUGCUAAUACCGCAUAAGCGCACAGCUUCGCAUGAAGCAGUGUGAAAAACUCCGGUGGUACAAGAUGGACCCGCGUCUGAUUAGCUGGUUGGUGAGGUAACGGCCCACCAAGGCGACGAUCAGUAGCCGGCCUGAGAGGGUGAACGGCCACAUUGGGACUGAGACACGGCCCAAACUCCUACGGGAGGCAGCAGUGGGGAAUAUUGCACAAUGGGGGAAACCCUGAUGCAGCAACGCCGCGUGAGUGAAGAAGUAUUUCGGUAUGUAAAGCUCUAUCAGCAGGAAAGAAAAUGACGGUACCUGACUAAGAAGCCCCGGCUAACUACGUG
rnacentral:rRNA from 1 species